UUAUUUACCGUAUAUUCCUUUAAUUAUGAAUGUUGGGUAAAAAUAUAGAGGACAAAUAGGCACUCGAUGGGAUACCCAAAAUUAUUUAUUUUCCCAUCUUAUUAACUUUUUAAAAUAUUUCCGUAAGCCCUAUCUUUUUAUCCGAUAAAUUUUUCUUAUUACCAUAAUAGAAACAAAUUAACAUGAGAAAAAAGAACAAUGAUGAAAAAAAUAAAUAAGGUCCGAAAAGAAACAAUUAAAUUUUUUUAUAGCCGAUCCCAUUUACACCUUGCAGAUUCGCCCUCAGAUAGGGUCAAGGCCUUUGCUGACAACUGAGGCUUCAACAAUACCAAAUCUAACUUCCUAUUCCAUUAAAAUCCGAUCCCAUUUACACCUUGCAGAUACGCCCUCAGAUAGGGUCAAGGCCUGUUUGCUGACAACUGAGGCUGCAACAAUACCAAAUCUAACUUCCUAUUCCAUUAAAAUCCGAUCCCAUUUACACCUAGCACAUUUGCCCUCAGAACAUAUUAAAAAAUUGAUAAAACAAAAAAGAAAAAAACAAAUGAAAAAACACAAAAAGAAAAAAAAUGAUAAAAAAAUAAAAUAAACAAAUGAAAAAAGAAAAAAUGAUAGAAAUAAAUAAUAAAUCAAAAAAAGAAAAAUAUGAAAAAAAGGAGAAAAAAAAAUAUAGAAAUAAACAAAAAAAGAAAAAAAUGAAAAAGAAAAUACAAAAAAAUACAUUAUGAUAAAUGGAAAACAAAACUGAAAAUGAAAACGUAAGCUUCCUGGAUGAUUUUAAACACGGAAUGAGAAUUUAAGAAUAAACUUUCUAAUAUUACACAAUAUCUGUAAAUCGAAUUGAAUAACCAGGGAUAUUACACAAUAUCUGUACAUCGAAUUGAAUAACUGAGAACCAAUUUUCUCAGGGAUAUUAGAUAACGUUAUGAUCUUUUCCCUGAUCUCGGGCCUGCCCGUACCUACAACAACAACCUGGCGAUUGGAUGAAGUUUGAAUCAAUUCCACAGAUUUCCUAUGAAAUACCCAAGUGUACUUAAACCGAAAGGACCCAACAGCAAUUACUAAUUAAUACGCUACAUCCCCGCGCUUAUAAUAAAUAUAUAUAUAGCGAAUAUAAUAAAUUACCUAUGUUUUUUCUUUUUCUGAAUAAUAUAUUAUUAUUCGCCCAUAUUAUUUUUCAACAUUCCUUCACUAUUAUAUUACUAGUAGAUAGCCCGUCAAAAAUGACGGUGAAUAAGAAUUUUCUUUGUUUUUCAACGACAAAUGUUACCUUUUAUUUAAAUAUCUAAUUUUUAUUCUCUUUACCACCCCCCUUCAAACUAAUUCCAACCUAUUAAGACUAAGAGUGAUAUUUUGUGAAUCAAAAUAUAUUUAAAUUAGCUUAUUCUUGAGACCCAUAGGAAAAUUCUUUGUUAAAAUAUUACUGAUUACCUAUGACAUUAUUUAUGAUAAAAUAUGUUUAUAAAGUAUAUAUUUAGUUAUUUUAAUUUAUGUGCACAAU